GGGCAGGGGCGGGACCUGAGGCAGGAGUGCGCGGGAGGGCGGUUGUUUUUAAGGUCUAGUGCUGAGGAGGACCCGGGCUGUGCUUAAGGCUGGAGUAGCUUGGCCCUAGGCGGGGAGAGGAGGGGUUCGGAGUGGGGCUCGAUGUCAGAGACUUGGGACUCCGAGGUGCAGGCAUUGCAGAGGCCCUAGGGGCGGGUCUUGAAGCCAGGCUGAGAUGGUCAGACGUGGGCGGGCUUUGAGUACUGGAGAUCCAGCCUAGGGCCUUCCAAGUAGUAAAAAGAUUCUCUGCUACUGAGAGCUACAGCACCAAGCCUCUGUCUCGACCCCACGUGCUGGGAUUACAGACAUACUGCCACACCUAGCAAGAAAGAAAUGAGCUGUGGUCCUGCUUGGUGACAGACUCCAUGUCCAGCACAUCCAAGGUCCUGGGUUCAAUCACCAGCUUGUAUAGAUAUGUGUGCCUGUAUGACAAAGGGAAACAGAAUGGUCUGGAAAUUCUCUACACCAGUCUACUGAGAAAAGGAAGUAGGAGAAUGUGGAUUUAAAGGGGGUAGAGCUUUGUAUUUGUCCCUUUUUAUUUUCUAUGUAUGUAUGAGGCUAUUUAUUUAUUGAGACGCGGUCUCUCUAUGUAGUGCUAGCUGUCAUGGAACUCACUGUGUAAACCAGGCUGUCAUCGAACUCAGAGAUCUGCCUGCAUCUGCCUCCUGAGUCCUGGAGUCAUUUUUUAAGGGAAAAAGGUUUUCCACCUUUUUAUGCUAUUCAAUAAAAAAUAGUCAAAGGAGUUUGUUUGUUGCGGAACGUGUCUUUAAUCCCAGUCCUCUGGAGGCAGAGUCAGGUGGAUCUCUGUGAAUUACAGGCCAACCUGGUCCACAUAGUAAACUCCAAGGCAGCUGAGUUACAAGGUAAAAGCCUGUUCAAAAAAAAAGGGGGGGGGGAGUGGGAAAAUGGGAGGUGGUGUCAGAGGCAGGUGGAUUUCUGAGUUUGAGGCCAGCUGGGUCUGUGGAAAGCAGUCUGGGAAAAAAAUUUAAGGUUCCUGAGUGACCUUUCCAAUUUACCCUCAACCCCAUUGAAAAUCUCAAUGAAUCUGCCCCUCAACUGAUGCAAUAUCUCAGACACACUCCAUUCAUGACUAAGCAAAUAAUGUCAGUAGUGUGGCUCAGAAGCCUGGUACACUUAUUAACAACUUCUAACCAGGCACACGUAAUCUCAGCACUUGGGAUGUGGAGCCAGCAGGAUCAGUCCUAGGCUGAGACUUAACCACAUAGUGAAUUUGAAGCCAGCCUGGGCUACAUGAAACCCCGUUUCAAUAAAUAAAUUACAUAAAUAAAACAGGAGUCUUAACAGAGAUGGCUCAGCAGGUAAAGGUGCUUGUCACUAAGUCUGAAGACCUAAAUUUAGUCCCCAUGGUGGAAGGAAAGAACUGGCGCCUGGGAGUUAUCCUCUGACCUUCUCUUGGACCAAGGGCAUGCACAUACAAACAUUAAUAAAAUGUUUAAAAUAAAUUCAGAACAUGCUAUUUAUUUGUUUAUUGAGAUAGCAUCUCACUGUAAAGCCCUGGCUGUCCUAGAAUUGACUAUGUAGACCUGAACUCACAGAGAUAUUCCUGCCUCUGGCUUUCCAGUUCUGGAUUAAAAGCGUGAUUCAGCACGCUGGGCUGGUAAUCUUUUGCUUUGGUUUGGUUUUUGAAACAGAGUAUCCCUGUAUAGCCCUGGGCAUACAGGAUAUAUAGCCCUGGAACUCUCUCUGUAGAGCCUCGAACUAAGAGAAAUCUCCCCUGCCUGUACCUGGGACUAAUGGUAUGCGUCACCACCCUGCUAGUCAUUUAUUCUUAAAAAAGAAUUCACUGGAUGUGGUUACUCCACCUCUAAUCCUAACACUCUGGAGGCCAAGACAGGAUCAUCAGCUCAGUACAAUGUGUUCAUUUAUUUACUUAUGUGUAGGAAUAUCCACAUCACACUCAUUUAUUGAGCCGAGAGGGCACCUUAAAGGAGUUGAUUCUCUCCUUUCACAGUGUGAGUCACUCCUGACAGGUGUUUUUACCUGAUGAGCCAUCCUGACUACCCAAGCCGUGCGUACGUUCAGGUAAUACAGAAUAGAGAAUAGGACAGAAUGCAGAAGUUAGUGAGGCUUUGUGUCAAAAAUUAGAGGAGGAUCUGGGGCUGGGAAUGUAGAUGCUUGGCUAUCGGGCAGGAAGCCCUGGAUAAAAAAACUAAGUUCUGCGGUUGGGGAUUUAGCUCAGUGGUAGAGCGCUUGCCUAGGAAGUGCAAGGCCCUGGGUUCAGUCCCCAGCUCCAAAAAAAAGAACCAAAAAAAAAAAAAACCAAAAAAAACAAAAAAAAAAAAAACUAAGUUCCGUGUCCCAGGCAUGUAAUGGAAGCAUGAUGUGAAAGGCAGAGGCAGGACAAUCCACUGUUCAUGGUCAAGUCUGAGUGAUGUGAGACUCAAAAAGAAGACUAAGGAUUGUAGCUCAAUGUAGAUUUCUUCCCUUGCAUGUAUCAGGUUCUGGGUUCAAACUCUAACUGUGAAAAGAAAGAAAGAGCAGAGCAGUAAGCCCAAAGACAAGAACCAAGUUGUCCUUAAUGACAUUCAACCACAAAGAAAGCACUUACUUGUUACUUGUUAAUUAAUUGUUACUGAAGCAACGUCUCUAUAUGAAGCCAGUGCUGGACUCCCGACUCAUAGGUGACCUCCAUGACACUGGGAUUACAACAUGGACUCUACCAUGCCUGGCUAAGGCUAGGGUUACAGGAACUUUGACAGUCACCAAAAAGAAAGGCAAAAUAAAUAAAUGUGUUUACAAAAUUCGUGGGUGGAGAGAGUAGGAUAUGACCAGGUUGGGGUGGGAGGAGUAGAAUCUCUGGCUUUGGAUGUUUUUGUCAAGUUCUGAGCCUGAGGGCAGGGAGGCAUUGCAGUCCAGAUGAGCUACUUUCCAAGGGUUUUACCUUUAGUUAGGAGGAUGUGAGAGUAGAUCUUGAGGUGGAUAGUAAAUAUCUGUUAGGAGAAGCUAAAGAUAGCCCAACGUCAUUUUGGCUCUUGACCUACAGUUCUCUAUCUCCAAUUCUACUUGUUCUCAGCCAAGGCCAGGCACUGACAGGAUCUUUAAUGUAGGUUUUGCCUCCCCAGGACCUCAGCUCACAAGGCAUUGUCCUAGGAACACACUUGUAAAAAUAGCAGUUAAAGGGCUGGAGAGACAGGUGCCUCACUGGUUAAGCAGUGGCUGCUCUCUCAGAGAACCCACAUUCAAUUCCCAGAACCACACAGAACAGUGGUUCUCCACCUUCCUAGUGCUGUGAUACCUUAAUACUGUUCCUCAUCUUGUGGCGGCCAUAAAAUGUUCCCUACUUCAUAACUGUGAUUUUGCUACUGUUAUGAAUCAUGAUAUAAAUAUCUGAUAUGCAAGAUAUGUGAUACAAAACUCCUGUGAAAGAGUCUGUCAAACCCUCAAAGAGGGGCUGGAGAGACGGCUCAGCGGUUAAGAGCACUGUCUGCUCUUCCAGAGGUCCUGAGUUCAAAUCCCAGCAACCACAUGGUGGCUCACAACCCUCUGUAAUGGGAUCCGAUGCCCUCUUCUGGAGUGUCUGAAGACAGCUACAGUGUACUCAUAUAAAUUGAAUAAAAUAAAUCUUUAAAAAAAAAAAAAAAAACCCUCAAAGAGGUCAUGACCCACAAGUUAAGAACCACUGACAGAGACUCAUCAGGGGAACUCCAGUUUCAGGGAUCCAACACCCUCUUCUUGCCUCCCUGGCCACCAGGCAAGUGCAUGAUGCAAAACCAUAGGUGUAGGCAAGACCAAAUUCAGUAAGUUAAAAACAGGGAACCUAUUUUGUUUUGCACUGUUUUAGUAGUAGUAGUAGUAGUAGUAGUAGUAGUAGUAGUAGUAGUAGUAUUGUGGGGUGGGGGUGGAGGUUGCCAGUGCUAGGAAUGGAAUGUGGAGGUCAGAAGACAAUUCUGGAGUCCACUCUCUCCUACUGUAUGGAUUCUAGAGACUCAAACCUGAGUCAGGAAUUUUUUUUACCAACUGAUCAUCUCCCUGGCCCUGGGGACCUUUUCUUCCCAACAUAAAGGGAAAGUAACCGACAUGUUCAGUUUUGUUUCUUCUGUUUCCUUCAGCCCCUUCUUAAAGUUAACUCCUCCGCCCAGCUCAUUGGCAUACGUGUUCUAUGUUUUCAUGAAGUGUUGCCUGACUCUAUAAUCAAAAGUAACAAUCCCAGUUAAGAUCUAUAAGCUAGCUGGGUGGUAGGGCUGGUUGCGUGCCUUUAAUCCCAGCUCUAGGGGGCAUAGAGCUCUGAGUUCAAAGCCAGCCUGGUCUACGGAGUGAGUUCCAGGGCACCCAGGGUUACAGAGAGAAACUCUGUCUUGAAAAGCAAACAAACAAAAAGCAACUUUAGAAGAAAUGGUUUAUUUUAGCUCUUACGGUCUGUCAUGGCCAAGGAGUCAAACACGAGCUUCUGGCAUCUAGUCACGCCAUAUCAUGAGCAGAGAGGAUUGAAUGUGUGCAGCUAAACACUCACUUGACUUCUCUGUUCAUAUGUAGCUAGGGUUCCAGACCAAGAAAUGGUGCUUUGCACCUCCAGGCUGGAGCUUCCCAUACUGACUAAGGCAUUAAGACAACCCCUCACAGGGGCUGGGGAUUUGGCUCAGUGGUAGAGCACUUGCCUAGGAAGCGCAAGGCCCUGGGUUCGGUCCCCAGCUCCGGAAAAAAAAAAAAAAAAAAAAAAAAGACAACCCCUCACAGACAUUCCCUCAAGCCAAACCCCACCUAGCAAAUUCCCCACCGAGACUCUGGUCACAGGCGAUUAUAGGUUGUGUCAGGUAGGCAAUGUUAACCACUGUGGCUGGAGACAUGACUCAGGAGUCUCUAGUCUCUAGUGAGACUAUCUUCUAGGAUCUGGGUUCAGUGCCCAGGGGCAAGCUCACAGCCACCUAUAACUCCAGGUCCAAAAGAUCCAACGCCCUCUUCUGGCCUUCAUAAGCAAUACUCAUGUGACGUGUGUACGUAUAUACGGGCAAACCACCCAUACACACAUAAAAGAAGACAAAAUAUUUUAAGGGUGGGAACUCUGGAGAGAUGGCUCAGUGGUUUAGAGCACUCGCUGCACUUACUGAGGACCUCAGUUUGGUUCCCAGCACCACAGCAGAUAGAUCAUAAACCUGCAACUCUGAUCCAAGAGGACCCCACAUUCUCUUCUGGCUUCCAAAGGUACCUGCACCCACAUGGCAGACCCUUCCAUAGACGUAGCUCUCUCUGAUAAACACCGCAGUUUGCCUGAGCACAGAGCCAGAAUAAUAUUAAUAAUAUUGAGGGUUUGUAUGGCCACACAUAUAAUUACUAUAGUGAGAGCCCAAAGCAAAAAGAAGAUAUGGCUCGUGAGCCAAAGGGGGCAGAAGGGACAGAUGUGACUUUCACCCAGCUGGGAGAAGUCACAGGGCACUGGGGGAAAGGGAUUAUAAAGAGAAGGUGCUUCUCCAUCCUAAAAAGUCAGAGGUGGGAAACGGAAAUGAAUGCAGCCCCAGCUGGCUGUUAGUAGGAGGUGUGCCUCUGACGUGGAGGGAGGAAGGGCCGUUCAGCUCUGCUUCUGCCUUCUUGGCAGAAACCUCCCGCACCGGGCUGUACUGACCACUCUGUUCUGCCUCCUUCUCUCCUCCAGGAAAACACCCACUUUUCCAGGAAUUCACAGUGACGCCUAUGCCACACAAAGUUAUUCUUAGAAACUGACUUGAUGAAAUAUUCAGAACUGUAAACAACAUGCACGCGCUUUAGGUCCCAAGUAUGCUUGCGCGGCGUCCCAGUUGGCUGCAAAGUAGAUCCCCGGGGAAAGAAAGGGUGUUCUUCGAUAAAAGUCUGGACUGUACCUGCCAGAGAAUGUUCAAAACAGGAAGCAGCGCCGGCUCUGAGAGUCAGGCACAGCCGCCGAGCUGAAGCAGGACAGUAUCCCCAAGGACCCAUCAGGGCGUGCUGGGCUGUGGCCGCUGCUGUUUAUUUGUCCUUGGUCGGUGAGGCAAUAACUCCAGGCCUGCUUCACGGAGAUUGCAGAAGUGGAGUAACAGGUCAGGUGGCCUGAGACCAACAUGCCAACAACUGUCUCAGGACGAAACGUGCCCAACAGCAGAUCUGUCAUGAAACCUCUCAAGGCACACGCCCAUAGCCGGAUCGCCACAUAGUGGUCUUGAUGUGGAGAAAUCCGGAGGAGACUAUCUUAAGAGAGAAAGGGCUUUCACUGGGAGGAAAGGAGCUCUUGUAUCCCAAGCUGGCCAUGAAUUCACAACGUAGUGGAGGAUGACCGUGAACUUCUGACGCUCUGACCUCUACCUCCUGGGAUUAGAGGUAGCUCAUUAUUGAACAUCUUCCAUUGUCUGGAUGGAACAGAAUGCACUUCUCCGCCUACUGAAGGAUACCUCAGUGCUUCCAAGCUUUGGCUGUUACCACCAAGGCGUCUAUGAACACGGGUGUACAGGUUCUGAGGAUACAGCCUCUAGUCUUCUUCACCCGACCCUCCUCUGAGCUCUCCCACAUCUGUGCUGCUCUGUUACCACCCAGUCUUGCCCAGUCUCCUGCCAGGACUCUCCCUGCCCAGGCCACAGGCUGGCCUUUUGCCCCAGACGCAGCAAACUGAGAAGAUGUUGGACCACUCAUCCUGCUUCCUCCUGGGAAAAUCUGAGCCCUGAUCUCUCCAGGUGGCCAUUGGUUGACUCACUGGCACCCCCUGCUGUCGGAGAUGUAGAAACCUGAAAAUGAUACAAGAAGAAAGUGCCAAAACCUGGAAGCUGUGUGCAAAAAUGUCCAUAGCAUUUUAUUCAGAGCAGACACAAAUUAGAAUAUUUCCCAGUGUCCCUCUACAGGAAGGCAGGCACACAACGGUAACUUCACAGUGCAUCACAGCAUCAAAACGUGUGGUGGGCAAAGCUUCUCAUCACAAGGGGGUCGGGAAGGAAAGGCAGAGCUGAGAGAUCUAGAACAAUACAAAUACUUCUUUUAAAGAUUUAUUUAUUUUAUGUAUGUGAGUGCACUGUCGAUGUCUUCAGACACAUCAAAAGAGGGCAUCAGAUCUCACUUCAGAUCUGGGUGGCUGUGAGCCACCAUGUGGUUGCUGGGAUUUGAACUCAGGACCUCAGGAAGAGCAGUCUGUGCUUUUAACCACUGAGCCAUCUCUCCAGCCCAAUGUAAACCCUUCUUGGUCCCAGUGAUCUACUUCCUCACUAGCCCAUCCCGCUGUGGACUGUCAGUGGAUUGCCCUGCUGGUGAACCUACAGCCCUCUGAGCACCUGGAGUCAAGCUCUCAACAUGAGCCUAUAGGGACAGUUUACAUCCAGCCCACAAGACCCAGCCAUAAAUAAGAACAAACCACAGAAGCAGGCAGCAAUUAGACAUGCUCAUGGUCACGUCAGCUCUCCACAUCUGCUGCUUCUGCAGCCAUGGAUUCAGUCAAUCAUAGAAUCAAGCCCCAGUGGUAGAGAGCUAACCUAGUGGGUGUAAGCUCUGGGUCCAGUCCCUAGUUCUGGG